rnacentral:rRNA from 1 species
UACGUAGGGGGCAAGCGUUGUCCGGAAUCAUUGGGCGUAAAGAGCGUGUAGGCGGCUUGGUAAGUCCGCUGUGAAAGUCCAGGGCUCAACCCUGGAAAGCCGGUGGAAACUGUCAAGCUUGAGUCCGGAAGAGGCGAGUGGAGUUCCUGGUGUAGCGGUGAAAUGCGCAGAUAUCAGGAGGAACACCAAUGGCGAAGGCAGAUCUCUGGGCCGUAACUGACGCUGAGGAGCGAAAGCAUGGGGAGCGAACAGG